UGUGCUACUAUUUUCUAUUUAUUGGUAGAGUGGAGCCUGGAAAACUCGGGUUGAUGCCAGCAGUGGUUCUGUGGAUAUCAGGUGGUGCCCCAAACGCACUACUUUCUAUUUAUUGGUACAGCGGAGCCUGGAAAACUCCGGUUGAUGCCAGCAGUGCUUCUGUGGAUGUCAGAUGGUGUCCCCAAACCCGCACGCUGGGAGUGCUCCCACCUCCUGCUGGAUGGUGGAGAGGAGCGAGAGGACAGAGGUGGUGCUGGGCGGUACUGGGGGCUGCUGGGCCUGGUCUGUUUUCCCCUGGCAGUGGUUUUCCAGGUGUCUGAAGAUGCCCCUGUGCUGACACUCUGGGGGGGCCACUCCCACCUCCUGAAGGAUGGUGGAGGGGAGUAGGAGGAUGGUGCCCGGGGGGGCUGUGGGCUGCUGGGCCGGUCACGCUUUCCCCAGGCAGCAGUGGUCGGUCUCUUGGACAGUUCCUGUGAGCCAACACCCUGGGGGGGCUGCUCCCACCUCCUGCUGGAUGGUGGAGGGGUGGGGGAGGGCAUUUGGGGAGCCUGGGGGCGGCCAGGUCUGUCAUGCUGGUGGGGCCGCUGCUGUCCCUUGAAGGAUGGUGGAGGGGAUGGAGAGGGCAGUGGAGGGGGUUGGGGGCGCCACUCCCGUUCCCUGAAGGAUCGUGGAGGGGAAUGGGAGGGUGGUGACGGUGCCUGGGGAGCUGGGGGGCUGCUGGAGCGGUCGCGCUUCCCCCAGGCAGUGGUUGUCCGUCUGUUGGACAUUUUCCCCAAGUCUGCACUCUGCGGGGAUUGCUUCCCUCCCCUGAUGGAUGGUGGAGGGGAGGGGGAAGGCAGAGGUGGUGCUGGGAGGGGCUGAGGGCUGCUGGGCCUCUCAGGCUUCCCUGAGGCAGCGGUUGUCUGGGUGCUGGACGAUGCCCCCGAGCCGACACCCUGAGGGGACCGCUCCCGUCCCCUGAAGGAUGGUGGAGGAGGAGGAGGCAGAGGUCGGGGGGGCGGCGUUGGUGGCCGGGGGCUGCUGGGCCUGUUGCUCAUCUGCCGGGGAGCCGUUGUUUCAGUGCCGGCCGAUGACCGCAAGCCUCCACCCCGGGCAGGUUCCUUCCGUCCCCUGAAGGAUGGUGGAGGGGGACGGGGGGGUGGUGUUGAUGCCCGGGGGGGCCGGGGGCUGCUGGGCCUGUCGCUCAUCUGCUGGGGAGCCGUUGUUUCAGUGCUGGCCAAUGACUGCGAGCCUCUACCCCGGGCAGGUUCCUUCCGUCCCCUGAAGGAUGGUGGAGGGGACGGGGGGGCUGUGCUGAUGCCCGGUGGGUCUGGGGGCUGCUGGGCCUGUUGCGCAUCCCCCGGGAUGUGGAGCCCAGGCCGGUGGGCCGCGGGGGCCGAGGUGGGGGCAGCUGAGCCUGGCUGCUGUCCAGCCUGGCAGGGGCUGCUCUGGUGGUGUCCUGCAGCAGGUGGGCAGGUCGUCCCCACACAGGUGGUUGCCACCAUGUCUGUCUUUUGGGCCCCUCGAGGUGGGCAGGCUGUUCAUCUGACUCUGAACUGGAGCUGCUGCUAUCAUCCCGGGCUUCAUCAGCUGCAGCGAG
ensembl:lncRNA